rnacentral:rRNA from 1 species
AGUCUUCGUAGUUUCACUCCCAACCCCUGUGAACAUACCUUAAUGUUGCCUCGGCGGAUCAGCCCGCGCCCGGUAAAACGGGACGGCCCGCCAGAGGAUCCAAACUCUUGCUGUUAUUGUAACUUCUGAGUAAAACAAACAAAUAAAUCAAAACUUUCAACAACGGAUCUCUUGGUUCUGGCAUCGAUGAAGAACGCAGCAAAAUGCGAUAAGUAAUGUGAAUUGCAGAAUUCAGUGAAUCAUCGAAUCUUUGAACGCACAUUGCGCGCGCCAGUAUUCUGGCGGGCAUGCCUGUUCGAGCGUCAUUUCAACCCUCAAGCCCCCGGGUUUGGUGUUGGGGAUCGGCGAGUCUUAGGACCAGCCGCCCCCUAAAUCUAGUGGCGGUCUCACUGCAGCCUCCAUUGCGUAGUAGCUAACACCUCGCAACUGGAACGCGGUGCGGCCAUGCCGUUUAACCCCCAACUUCUGAAUGUUGACCUCGGAUCAGGUAGGAAUACCCGCUGAACUUAAGCAUAUCAAUAAGCGGGAGGAAAGAUCAUUACCGAGUUUACAACUCCAACCCCGUGAACAUACCUUAAAUGUUGCCUCGGCGGAAUCACCGCGCCUGUAAAUUGGGACGGCCGCCGAGGAACCAAACUCUUGCUGUUAUUGUAACUUCGGAGUAAAACAAAAAAUAAAUAAAAUU